rnacentral:rRNA from 1 species
AUUGAACGCUGGCGGCAGGCCUAACACAUGCAAGUCGAGCGAGCGGCUGACGGGUGAGUAAUGUCUGGGAAACUGCCUGAUGGAGGGGGCUAACUACUGGAAAAGGUAGCUAAUACCGCAUACCAUCAGAUGUGCCCUGAUGGGAUUAGCUAGUAGGUGGGGUAAUGGCUCACCUAUGCGAAGCUCCCUAGCUGGUCUGAGAGGAUGACCAGCCACACUGGAACUGAGACACGGUCCAGAUUCCUACGGGAGGCAGCAGUGGGGAAUAUUGCACAAUGGGCGCAAGCCUGAUGCAGCCAUGCCGCGUGUAUGAAGAGGGCCUUCGGGUUGUAAAGUACGUUCAGCGGGGAGGCGUUACCCGCAGAAGAAGCACCGGCUAACUCCGUGCCAGCCGCCGCGGUAAUUC